AUGAACGCUGGCGGCGUGCUUAACACAUGCAAGUCGAACGGUGAAGCCCAGCUUGCUGGGUGGAUCAGUGGCGAACGGGUGAGUAACACGUGAGCAACCUGCCCCUGACUCUGGGAUAAGCGCUGGAAACGGCGUCUAAUACUGGAUACGAGACGUGAUCGCAUGGUCAACGUCUGGAAAGAAUUUCGGUUGGGGAUGGGCUCGCGGCCUAUCAGCUUGUUGGUGAGGUAAUGGCUCACCAAGGCGUCGACGGGUAGCCGGCCUGAGAGGGUGACCGGCCACACUGGGACUGAGACACGGCCCAGACUCCUACGGGAGGCAGCAGUGGGGAAUAUUGCACAAUGGGCGGAAGCCUGAUGCAGCAACGCCGCGUGAGGGAUGACGGCCUUCGGGUUGUAAACCUCUUUUAGCAGGGAAGAAGCGAAAGUGACGGUACCUGCAGAAAAAGCGCCGGCUAACUACGUGCCAGCAGCCGCGGUAAUACGUAGGGCGCAAGCGUUAUCCGGAAUUAUUGGGCGUAAAGAGCUCGUAGGCGGUUUGUCGCGUCUGCUGUGAAAUCCCGAGGCUCAACCUCGGGCCUGCAGUGGGUACGGGCAGACUAGAGUGCGGUAGGGGAGAUUGGAAUUCCUGGUGUAGCGGUGGAAUGCGCAGAUAUCAGGAGGAACACCGAUGGCGAAGGCAGAUCUCUGGGCCGUAACUGACGCUGAGGAGCGAAAGGGUGGGGAGCAAACAGGCUUAGAUACCCUGGUAGUCCACCCCGUAAACGNNNNNNNNUAGUUGUGGGGUCCAUUCCACGG
rnacentral:rRNA from 1 species